UGUUUGGAGAGUUUGAUCCUGGCUCAGGACGAACGCUGGCGGCGUGCUUAACACAUGCAAGUCGA
rnacentral:rRNA from 1 species